UCGGCCGCGCUUCAAAAAAAGAACCCUGGUCGGUCCAAAACCGGGGUUUCAUAAUUCAAUCGCGUCAAACUCCCUAUCGCUGCUCUCAACCUCAAUGAUACUUUUCAUUACGAUGCAGAGCAUCUAAACGUUUAUGAAGGAGAGGAGUAAAUACACCAAAAAACUUGAAUGUGUGAUUUUUUCAAA